CCUACGGGUGGCAGCAGUGAGGAAUAUUGGUCAAUGGGCGCGAGCCUGAACCAGCCACGUAGCGUGAAGGAUGACUGCCCUACGGUUUGUAAACUUCUUUUAUAAAGGAAUAGCGUGAGGCGCUUGUGCCUUUUUGUAUGUCUUUUAUGAAUGAGGAUCGGCUAACUCCGUUCCAGCAGCCGCGGUAAUACGGAGGAUCCGAGCGUUAUCCGGAUUUAUUGGGUUUAACGGGAGCGUAGAUGGGUCGUUAAGUCAGUUGUGAAAGUUUGCGGCUCAACCGUAAAAUUGCAAUUGAUACUGGUAGCCUUGAGUACAGUUGAGGUAGGCGGAAUUCGUGGUGUAGCGGUGAAAUGCGUAGAUAUCACGAAGAACUCCGAUUGCGAAGGCAGCCUACUAAACUGCCACUGACAUUGAUGCUCGAAAGUGUGGGUAUCAAACAGGAUUAGAUACCCCUGUAGUC
rnacentral:rRNA from 1 species